UCGGGACACAGCAGGAUGCAGUAGUGGGUCCUGGGCGCCUGAGGUGAUUCUACCCUGGAUACCCGAAUAACUGCUUGAGGGCGUGAGACCUGGCACGGAGAUCACUGCUCAGAGUCUUCCUUGGAUAACAAAAAAUUGAGCGAAAACUGGUUCUUUCUGGAAUACUGAAGAACUGAGACCAUUCAAGGAUGUUUGAGUGCUUUUUCCUGUCAUUGUCAUUACCCCAGAUGUGGCCUUGUACAUGUUGAGUUGGUUAACAAUUAGGGUGAAAAGGAGAGUGAAAGGGAGCCCUUGUUCUGAGUGAGUCCUUUACCCCACAUCUCUCUAAGUUGCAUCAUUCUGAGGGACAGAAUCUCUGAAGUGACCCAUGUCAGAAAAGGAGACUGUGCUCUGAGGGAUGGUGCAGUGCUGCAGAUCGUCACGGUCAUGCUAGGAGUAUAUAGACAAUGGCUACGUGUUCAGGUAUUCAAUUACGGAGCGGAAUACAGGAUAACUGCUGUGUAUAUACUUCAUAGACUAUUACAUUAAAUACAGAGGCUUGAGAUUUUGCUUUAUAAACCACAGUCAUGGCUCAUCUUUCUGUGAGGAAGCUGUAAGAGAGCUUAUCUCAGUGCACACAUGUGGGGAGGGAGAAAAUGAAGAUGGAAAGUAAGGUAAAAGGCUGCCCAGGGCACCCUUGUUUAGCUCAGCAGUGGUUGUUCAGAAGGGGGAGAUGGGUAUUAGGUGAAGGGGAAAGGUGCUUGGCAACCAGGGCUGCAAGUCAGAGACUAUCUAGACCACUGGGAUUCUAAAUGAACUCCGUACCUUAGAAGGGGCUCAUUUCUUCAUGGUGGCGACAGAGAUAUGCUGAAUACUGACUCCCAUGUGGUAGCUGACCAAAGGGCUUCCCAAAGUGAACCACACUUUGGAAACCCCUCCUUGCUUAGAGUCAGAAAGAGCAAGUAAUGGUCCCACUCGUCCAGAGCCCUCAUUAACACGGGUCAUAGGAUGUCAGAAAACAUCAAAAGUGUCCAAACAUGAUUAAGAAUAUGUAUAAAGACAAAAACCACUUUCUAAUAUUGGUUUGGAUAGACUUUCAAUCAGAGAUAUUCUUCACAAAUUCUAUUAACAUGACCUCCCUUAAGUGUCUUUGUUCUGAUUCAAACAGGCCCUGACUCUACCUUUAAAAGAACUGGUCUUGACCUUAAUAUCUGCCAAUCAAAUAUUUCAUGAGAAAAAAAGAAAUAAACUGAUUCAUGAGAUGGGAUCUAUUACCUAAGUGUUUCAUUAAGUAGCUUAAUCUCAAAAUUCU